CAAAAAGUUAUCACUGUUUAUAAUUUUCUUGCAUCAACAUAUAUUCCUUGCAGAUCUACAGAUAAUUUGUUCACUGCUAUCUGAAACUUCUUGUGGGAAAACCUGAGGCCAAUUGACUGGGUCCACCUUUAACCCCCAAUGGUGACAUUUUCUGCAAGGAUCCUGAAGAGUUCUUUAUUUUUCAAGUCUGAUGGUGAUCCAGAAGACUUGGUGAAAUUGUGGAGCACAGGGAGGAAAAAGCCUUGGUUUCUUAACCACAGUGCGGAAGCUUAUCUACUGACACGGUACUGUGACAUGACUAUCUUUAAAUUUAAUUUCUGUUUCUUUAAGC
rnacentral:lncRNA from 1 species